rnacentral:rRNA from 1 species
AUGGUGUUACAAACAUUUUUUGCUGCAAGUGGAUUCCAUGACAGUGAUGAAGCAACUGACCGUAUGCCAAAUGCCACUUUAUAUGACAACUAUUGCAGGAAAGUUUUGACCAGGAUGUGUGAAACAAGUAAUGAAGUCCAGGCGGUAUGCCUUUGGCGUGAUGAAGGAGGCAGGGACGAACCUUGGAGAUUGCUGUCGAGCGUUGCUCGCCGCGCGCUGCAGCAUCCUCCGCGGCGCUUGUUCAGCUGCCGGCAGGACAAGAUCAAAGUGCAGGACUCAAUUGAAAGGCCAACAAUGUGCACACAUUGGCUACAUUUGCUGUGGGCUGUAUGCCAUUUUCGGAAGAAGGCGGCGUGGCGCGGCAAUGGCGGAGAGGGGGAAGAAGAACAGAGACGGAGAGCAGGAAUGCGAUGCUAG